rnacentral:rRNA from 1 species
UACAGAGACCUCAAGCGUUAUCCGGAAUCAUUGGGCGUAAAGCGUACCGAUAGGUGGUCUAAAAAGUCAGAAGUGAAAUCUCAAGGCUCAACUUUGAGACUGUCUUUUGAAACUUUUAGACUAGAGGGGCAAAGAGGAAGCUGGAACGAACGGUGUAGUAGUGAAAUGCGUUGAUAUCGUUCGGAACACCAAUAGCGAAGGCGGGCUUCUGGGUGCCACCUGACACUGCUAGGACGAAAGCGUGGGGAGCGAACGGG